rnacentral:rRNA from 1 species
UACGUAGGGUGCAAGCGUUGUCCGGAAUUAUUGGGCGUAAAGAGCUCGUAGGCGGUUUGUCGCGUCUGCUGUGAAAACCCGAGGCUCAACCUCGGGCCUGCAGUGGGUACGGGCAGACUAGAGUGUGGUAGGGGAGACUGGAAUUCCUGGUGUAGCGGUGAAAUGCGCAGAUAUCAGGAGGAACACCGAUGGCGAAGGCAGGUCUCUGGGCCACUACUGACGCUGAGAAGCGGAAAGCAUGGGGAGCGAACAGG